rnacentral:rRNA from 1 species
AGGAUUAACGCUGGCGGCGUGCCUAACACAUGCAAGUCGAACGAGGGGGGCAACCCCCGAGUGGCAGACGGGUGAGUAACGCGUGGUCAACCUACCCUAGAGUGGGGAAUAACUAGCCGAAAGGUUAGCUAAUACCGCAUGAUACGUUUUGGGACAUCCCAGGACGUUGAAAGGAGCAAUCCGCUCGAGGACGGGACCGCGUCCGAUUAGCUAGUUGGUGAGGUAACGGCCCACCAAGGCUCCGAUCGGUAGCUGGUUUGAGAGAGCGACCAGCCACACUGGGACUGAGAAACGGCCCAGACUCCUACGGGAGGCAGCAGUGAGGAAUUUUCCGCAAUGGGCGAAAGCCUGACGGAGCGACGCCGCGUGUGGGAAGAAGGCCUUCGGGUCGUAAACCACUGUCGAAGGGGACUAUACUGAAGGUACCCUUGGAGGAAGCCCCGGCUAACCUACGUGCCAGCAGCCGC